rnacentral:rRNA from 1 species
ACCCGCAGAAGAAGCACCGGCUAACUCCGUGCCAGCAGCCGCGGUAAUACGGAAGGUCCAGGCGUUAUCCGGAUUUAUUGGGUUUAAAGGGAGCGCAGGCUGAUGAUUAAGCGUGACGUGAAAUGUAGCCGCUCAACGGCUGAACUGCGUCGCGAACUGGUUAUCUUGAGUGAGUUCGAUGUUGGCGGAAUUCGUGGUGUAGCGGUGAAAUGCUUAGAUAUCACGAAGAACUCCGAUUGCGAAGGCAGCCAACAAGGCCUUUACUGACGCUAAAGCUCGAAGGUGCGGGUAUCGAACAGGAUUAGAUACCCUGGUAGUCCGCACGGUAAACGAUGGAUGCCCGCUGUUUGCGAUAUACUGUGAGCGGCCAAGAGAAAUCGUUAAGCAUCCCACCUGGGGAGUACGCCGGCAACGGUGAAACUCAAAGGAAUUGACGGGGGCCCGCACAAGCGGAGGAACAUGUGGUUUAAUUCGAUGAUACGCGAGGAACCUUACCCGGGCUUGAACUGCCAGCGAACGAUUCAGAGAUGAUGAGGUCCUUCGGGACGCUGGUGGAGGUGCUGCAUGGUUGUCGUCAGCUCGUGCCGUGAGGUGUCGGCUUAAGUGCCAUAACGAGCGCAACCCUUUUCUUUAGUUGCCAUCAGGUAAUGCUGGGCACUCUGGAGAUACUGCCACCGUAAGGUGUGAGGAAGGUGGGGAUGACGUCAAAUCAGCACGGCCCUUACGUCCGGGGCUACACACGUGUUACAAUGGGGGGUACAGAGAGUCGGAUAUACGCAAGUAUGUUCUAAUCCUUAAAGCCUUCCUCAGUUCGGAUUGGGGUCUGCAACCCGACCCCAUGAAGCUGGAUUCGCUAGUAAUCGCGCAUCAGCCAUGGCGCGGUGAAUACGUUCCCGGGCCUUGUACACACCGCCCGUCAAGCCAUGAAAGCCGGGGGCGCUUGAAGUCCGUGACCGCAAGGAUCGGCCUAGAGCGAAACUGGUAAUUGGGGCUAAGUCGUAACAAGGUAGCCGUACCGGAAGGUGCGGCUG